AGACUUUCACGCAGUUUUGGUGCUCGCGCGCGGAUUCUCUCGUGCGCAGUUAAACGGGAAGCAGGGCGCGUUCCAUUCGACCGGUCGAACGAGCGUCAACCUGCGCUGCCCCCGCAACGGUAAGCGAUUCCCGCAUCGGCAAUGUUUUCAUCGCCCGUGCGGGAAGCCGCCUUCGAGGCCACUGCGCUCAUGCGGCGCGGGAAGGCGAAGCGGCGUCGUCGUCAGCCCGGAUACCGGCCAGACAUGAGAGGGUGCG
rnacentral:ncRNA from 1 species